ensembl:snRNA U6 U6 spliceosomal RNA
CUUGGAGUUUCAGUCCAAGCUCUUUGGUGCUUGGAACCAUACAGAGAUUAGCACGGCCCCUGUGCAAGAAUGGCAUACAAAUUCAUGAAGCAUUCCAUUUUUUA